rnacentral:rRNA from 1 species
GACGAACGCUGGCGGCGUGCUUAACACAUGCAAGUCGAACGGAAAGGCCCUGCUUUUGUGGGGUGCUCGAGUGGCGAACGGGUGAGUAACACGUGAGUAACCUGCCCUUGACUUUGGGAUAACUUCAGGAAACUGGGGCUAAUACCGGAUAGGAGCUCCUGCUGCAUGGUGGGGGUUGGAAAGUUUCGGCGGUUGGGGAUGGACUCGCGGCUUAUCAGCUUGUUGGUGGGGUAGUGGCUUACCAAGGCUUUGACGGGUAGCCGGCCUGAGAGGGUGACCGGCCACAUGGGAACUAAGGUACGCCCCAGACGCCAACGUGAGGCAGCAGUGGGAAAUAUUACACAAGGGGCGGAAGCCUGAGGCAGCAACGCUGCGUGCGGAAAGACGGCCUUCGGGUUGUAAACCGCUUUCGCCUGAGACGAAGCGAGAUUGACGGUAAUGGGUAAAGAAGCACCGGCUAACUACGUG